UCCCAGUCAGUUACAAUGUUUUGUUUUGUUUUUGUUUUUAAAUGGCUUACAUUUCCUGUAUGAGAAAAAAUAUUCAGAAAACUAAGGAUUUUUCAAUUGACGUUUUAAGUUAGUUUUAUUCUAACCAUUUUAUCUCCUUGUUUUCUGGUGAUUCGCCUCUUUUCAAAAUGGAUUACUGAAAAAGGAGAGCAAAAUGCUAAGGAAGAACAAGUUAACUUUUGUUUAUUUGAAGUUUUACCCUAUAUUGUAGACCAUGGCAUAUUGCAAUGGUCAUCCAUUGAGUAUUAUAUAGAUUUUUUUUCUCUUUUUCCUCUGUAGAUCACAAUAACAGUAUAUGGUCCUUGUAUAGAAUGUAGAAAACAUAGAAAGCCACAAGUGAAGUUAGAAUCGCUCAACAUAACUUUAGUUAGUUAUUCUAUUUUGUGAUUCCCAUUUGGGUUGGCAUAAUAGAUUAUGACAUGUUAUAAUAUCUAUUCAGCCUAAAUCAGCUGAUUCUCAAACUAAACUGUUUUGCAUUUAUUUUCUUGUCCGUAAUGUUUCUAAUAUUUUGAUGGUACAAGCCGAUUCUUGUAUAUUGUCGGCCAAUUUCAGUGAUCUAUUUGUUCUUUAUCUCACUUGGCAUAGCAGAGUAGACGGAGAUAACUGAUGACUACCUCUUCUAAGCACUAUAACUUGACUACACGAAGUUACUCCAUCAAGAUGUAUUAGUCUAAGGACUCCCAUAACUGCCUUGUCUUACACUUAGAAUUAUUAUACAAACAACUUGAUUAGCGUGAAUCUUGUCUCAUCACAUCAAUUGGAUUGUCCUCAAUCCAAAUGGAAUCAGCUUGCAAAGAGUAGGAAGUGGCACACAGCCAAGCAGCUAGGUGCUCACAUCUAUCUGAUAAUCCAGCAAUGGGAUAUAACUUAAACAUGCAGUUGAAUCAAGCCAGUAUUAUUAAGCUGAAAGAGCACAGUGGUUGAACCAUUUACAUUCACUUCUUCAGGCAACCAUGGGUGGUCUAAUCAAUAAUAUGUCCCACCUGGUUGAUUGUUAGACCAUUAAAAUAAUGGAUUCUGGCAUGGGGUGUAGCUUAGAUGGUAGAGUGCUUACCUAGCACCAACAUGACCCUAGCAAGGUCCAACCCCCAGUAUGCCAGUCAGAUGUGGUGGUACAUAACUGUAAUCCUAACCCUAAGGAGGUAGAGGUAAGAAUCAGAGGUUCAAGGCCAUCAUCAUCUACUCAGUGAGUUUGAGACCAGCCUGUGUGAUACAUGAGAGCUUCAUAAAAAAAACUUAAAUGAAAUAAUAGAGUCUGCACAAUAAAAUGUGUUGUUUUUCUGUCUCAUGUCUUCUUGCCAGGUCAAGAUAGUUGAUAGAUAUAGCACAGGCAUAGACAUAAACGAGCUUUUAUAAAACAGUUAUGUCAGUUAGUUGUAUUUUGUUUGGUUUUCUGCUUGAGUGGUUUGUAGAAACCCUGACAUCUUUCUUAUUUUUCCUUUUGGAUUUGCUAUAAGCUAAACAAUAACGAAUUGCAUUCCAAAGAAAGACCCAGAGCAGAAGUAAUUACUAAUCUGUAUACUCACAUUGGCUUCCUAUAAAUUAGACUAGUUAGAAUUGUUCCUAAGUAUUUUCAAAAGUGUUUAACCCCAAUUAAAUUGCUUAUGUAACCAGACUUGGUAGGGCCUUUGGAGGUGUCAAGUCCAUCAUACUACAGAGGAAAUCAAUGGAGUUUAGGAAAGAGAAGCCGUCUCCCUGAAUUCACCAUUUAGUUAGCAGAAAAUCAGCCAUUUUUACCAAAGCAAAGAUAUUAUCUAGGACAACCAUUGAUAUUCAAGACUGCUUGAUAGACAUCCUAAGGACAGUAUUUCUAACUUUAUAUAUAGACAUGAGUUUGACAUGUGUUAGCCUGGGAUGGUGUAGCUGUUGACACCAUCACAAGUCAGCAAGAAAGAAAAGAUAGAGAAAUCCUGGAAAAUAAAUUGCCUUUUACCACACACAUGGAAUCCCAUGCAGGGCCAUACAAUUGGUAAGUUGAUUUGACAUAAAUGGACACAAAAUAAAUCUCCAGUUCUACUUCAUCCUAUUGGUUCACUCACAGGUUAUGGUACAUGGUUCAUGUCUGACCAAGUUAGAGUCUCAGAAAUUCCUGAGUAAUGGCUGGACAUCUGCACAUGUCAAGAACAGUUUCAAUGUGUCUAUUAUCCAAAGGGAGGCUACAGUUUUGAAUGAGGGAAGAUGGAGGAAAUCUAAGCCUUCAUGCUUUAAAGUAAGAUUAAAAACUGAAUAUGAUUACUAUUUGUAAACAACCCUUUUAUCCAUCAGAGCCAUGAAAGGGGCCGAGUUGCGGCUACAAUCGUGUGUUCCCAGUAAGGUCAUGUUGCCAAUAGAGAGGCUUUGCUCCUGUGCUCACUGACACCAGCAGCUGCAGAGGUGAUUGGGCCCAGAAUGGGAACUAGCCUCAGAUGAACUCUUCAUGACCACGUUUCCCAGGAUUAUAAAUCAAAGGAAAGGCAAUUGUUCUAAGUCAAAUUGGCAAUAAAAAGAAACAACUUAGAGCAUUGCCUGUUGGAACUUGUUUCUUUAUCAGUGACAGCAUUUUAAUUUAGUCUUUGGUGUGGUUUAGAAUCAAGAGCGGCUUGUUCUUUUAGGCAUCUCUUGAUCUAGGAGCCAUCUAGGCAUGGAGGAAGAAUGCUUUCUAAUAUGUAGGACCUCUUCGAUCAGAUUUGGAUUGGUUUAGUCACUUGUGUCGAGGACAAACAUUCCUGUGAAUCAUCUCCAUUUAUGCCUAUAAUUUGAAAGUCCAGCACUACUUUAAUGAUUUUUUUUCAGGGAUAGUACUCCAAAAGCCUGUUACAAGAUGGUUGUGAUCCUGUAGGGAAUUUCCCUACAUGGUGUAUAACUCUUUCUGUAUUUCAGUGUAUCUGGGAGAAGGGGCUAGAGUACUGAUCUUAGAAUUCUUCUACUUUAAAAACUUGAGGGUUUGUUUUAGUUGAUUCCUUGGCUUUCACUUAGCUUUCCUUACCCUGCCUUCCAAGUUUUGCUCUAGCCCAGACCUAUUGCUUCCUCUAACCUGGUCCUGUAUUUGAGUUUACUCCUUUGGUUGUGCUGUUCCUACAAGUCAUUCUCUGUCUCCUUGCCUCCACGCGUCCAAAUUCCACCCAUCCUUCAAAAAAAGUCUACUUAAAUAUCACUUCCUCUAGCAAGCUCUUUUUAUUUCUUCUAAACAUGUAUCCUUAUUUCUGAACUCUUAUAAUAAUUUUAUCCGUACAUCUUUAGUGGUUAUGACCUCUUAACUUCUUGUAUAAGUGUUUGGACAGUUGUCAUCUUGAAUUAUACUUUGAUUUAGAGAAACAAAUAAAAGUUACACACUUCUUGAGGGCUAAAACUAUGUUUGAUUCCCCUUUGUAUUUCAUACAAUGCCUGAUAUAUUUAAGAGGCACUCAGUAUGUAUUUGACUGUAUGAAAUAAAUGGAUCCUUCUAUGUGUCUCUAUAUAUGUCUAUUCUCUGUGAAGUUUUCCCUUUUGACUUAAUAUUUUCUUGUAUUUCCAUCCAUGUGACUGUAUUGCCUUCCUUUUACCAUCAUUAUAUAUGCAUAUAAAACUUCAUGCUUAUUAUUUAAAAGC
rnacentral:lncRNA from 1 species